rnacentral:rRNA from 1 species
UACGUAGGGGGCAAGCGUUGUCCGGAUUUAUUGGGCGUAAAGCGCACGUAGGCGGUUUGUUAAGUCGGAUGUGAAAUCCCUCGGCUCAACUGAGGAAGUGCAUCCGAAACUGGCAGGCUUGAGUACUAAAGAGGGUCGCGGAAUUCCCGGUGUAGAGGUGAAAUUCGUAGAUAUCGGGAGGAACACCGGUGGCGAAGGCGGCGACCUGGGUAGAUACUGACGCUGAGGUGCGAAAGCGUGGGGAGCAAACAGG